AUGCAAAGGGGCCUAAGAAAGGGGGGCCUGAUGUCUCCUACCUUGUUCAACAUAGUGGCAGAUAUGUUGGCAAUUCUUAUUGGUAGGGGUAAACAGGACAGGCAAGUAGGCGGACUCAUACCCCACCUUGUGGAUGGUGGGGUGUCCAUACUACUAUACGCUGACGACAUAACCAUUUUCAUGGAACAUGAUCUACCAAAGGCUAGAAAUAUGAAGCUGGCUCUUUAUAAUAUUAUACAUCAUAAGGACGCUUAUAUUGCUGCAGUAUUACAGUCUGUUCCUCUAAACAUCCAGUUCAUGAGGUCCUUAGUAGGAGACCGAUGGGACGCGUGGCUACAUCUCAUGCAAAGGCUGAUGGGCAUUCACCUCUCUGAUAAACAAGAUUCGAUUCAUAGGACACUAUCCAUGAAUGGAGUUUUCUCAGUGAAAUCUAUGUAUCUAGACUCAACUGAUUUUGUUCCAAUUCCAAAAUCAUUGCAUAUUUGA
rnacentral:rRNA from 1 species